UUUUGUCUUUUAGUUGUUUCAGUUUCUGGUUGAAGCGGUUGGUGGUCGUUUUGCUGGGGUCUGUGUGGAGAAGUUCGUAGGUGGUGGUGUCUUGUAGGAGGGUUUUGGCUUUGUCGAUGUAUUCUGAUCUGUCCAUGAUAACUGUUUUGCGUCCUUUGUCAGCUCGUAAUAUGAUUAUUUGGUCGUCGUUUUGUAAGUUUUUAAUUGCUCGUAGUUCUUCGUACCAUCUAUUCUGCGUUUUUACCACUGUUU